rfam:Strongyloides stercoralis strain PV0001 genome assembly, scaffold: SSTP_contig0000033
CCAACGGCCCUCUUUAGGGCCACCACACUUCAUUUUUUUCAUUUUU